rnacentral:tRNA from 1 species
GAGGGUGUAGCUCAAAUGGUAAGAGGGCAUGCUUAGCAUGCAUGAGGUCCUGGGUUCAAUCCCCAUUGCCUCCA